UACAGAGGGUGCGAGCGUUGUCCGGAAUCACUGGGCGUAAAGGGCGCGUAGGUGGUGGCUUAAGCGUGCGGUGAAAGCUCGGAGCUCAACUCCGAGUCGGCCGUGCGAACUGGGCUCACUGGAGCAUAGUAGGAGGCAGGUGGAAUUCCUGGUGUAGCGGUGAAAUGCGCAGAUAUCAGGAGGAACACCGGUGGCGAAGGCGGGUCUCUGGGCCGAUGACUGACGCUGAGGAGCGAAAGCGUGGGGAGGCGAACAGGA
rnacentral:rRNA from 1 species